rnacentral:piRNA from 1 species
GUUUAUUAUGGUUCCUGAAGGUUAGUCUG